UAGGGGAAUCUUCGGCAAUGGGGGCAACCCUGACCGAGCAACGCCGCGUGAGUGAAGAAGGUUUUCGGAUCGUAAAGCUCUGUUGUAAGAGAAGAACGAGUGUGAGAGUGGAAAGUUCACACUGUGACGGUAACUUACCAGAAAGGGACGGCUAACUACGUGCCAGCAGCCGCGGUAAUACGUAGGUCCCGAGCGUGAUCCGGAUUUAUUGGGCGUAAAGCGAGCGCAGGCGGUUAGAUAAGUCUGAAGUUAAAGGCUGUGGCUUAACCAUAGUACGCUUUGGAAACUGUUUAACUUGAGUGCAGAAGGGGAGAGUGGAAUUCCAUGUGUAGCGGUGAAAUGCGUAGAUAUAUGGAGGAACACCGGUGGCGAAAGCGGCUCUCUGGUCUGUAACUGACGCUGAGGCUCGAAAGCGUGGGGAGCAAACAGGAUUAGAUACCCUGGUAGUCCACGCCGUAAACGAUGAGUGCUAGGUGUUGGGUCCUUUCCGGGACUCAGUGCCGAAGCUAACGCAUUAAGCACUCCGCCUGGGGAGUACGACCGCAAGGUUG
rnacentral:rRNA from 1 species